rnacentral:RNase_P_RNA from 2 species
UCCUCGCCAACGCUGCGUUUCUUUGCUCAUAACAGACACUGAGCACCGCCUCAGCUCGUCUACGCUUGCAAAUGAGAAAUUCGGAGUAAUCUUCAACCUCUUGCCUUACUCGCACCCCCGCUGUGUUCCAUAGCCCGGUGUGAGCCUUUGGUAGCUGCCCGUGAGGGCCUGGCGUGACUUCACGUCUGCACUCGGCAUCAGAAAUCUCAGGACUCGGACCACUGUCUCCCCUACCGGAGAGCGGCGGUUUGAAUCCUAUGGGAGCCGGUGCGAAGAUUGUGUGCUGUGCGAAAGCAUGGUGGUACUUUAGUGCAAUACGCGGCGUACUGGACUUCAUGCGACUGUCACCCGAGUUGGCAUGCGUGAAGAAUGGUAUCAUUCGAUUCCGAUUACUCUGACGAGGA